rnacentral:rRNA from 1 species
GAGUUUGAUCAUGGCUCAGAUUGAACGCUGGCGGCAGGCCUAACACAUGCAAGUCGAGCGCGAAAGGCCUUCGGGCUGAGUAGAGCGGCGGACGGGUGAGUAACGCGUAGGAAUCUACCUGGUAGUGGGGGACAACUUGGGGAAACUCAAGCUAAUACCGCAUACGCCCUAUGGGGGAAAGCGGGGGACCUUCGGGCCUCGCGCUAUCAGAUGAGCCUGCGUAGGAUUAGCUAGUUGGUGAGGUAAAGGCUCACCAAGGCGACGAUCCUUAGCUGGUCUGAGAAGAUGAUCAGCCACACUGGGACUGAGACACGGCCCAGACUCCUACGGGAGGCAGCAGUGGGGAAUAUUGCGCAAUGGGGGCAACCCUGACGCAGCCAUGCCGCGUGUGUGAAGAAGGCCUU